UUACCUAACAUUCUACACUCAUAGGGAAUUCCAAAGAGAUAACAUGCAUCAUCAUCGGAGGCCGUUUGACCCCCUAAAUAAUUCGCCGAAGUUGGAACUUCGACACAGUUUUUCCGUAGUGCCGGAAAAAUUUGUCGAAAUCCGAUUCUUCCUCUUUUAACCACCUCUACAACCCUUAUCCGACCCCUCUAGACUACAUCCACCCUUUGUAUAGCCUAAUAUCAUCAAAAGACUAGAUAGGGACGGAUAUUUACCUUUUUCUUUUUGGAAAUCAAGGUCCUUGCAUAGAGGGAA
rnacentral:lncRNA from 1 species